UACGGAGGGGGCUGGCGUUGUUCGGAAUUACUGGGCGUAAAGCGCACGUAGGCGGCUUUGCAAGUUAGAGGUGAAAGCCCGGGGCUCAACUCCGGAAUUGCCUUUAAAACUGCAUCGCUAGAAUUGUGGAGAGGUAAGUGGAAUUCCGAGUGUAGAGGUGAAAUUCGUAGAUAUUCGAAAGAACACCAGUGGCGAAGGCGACUUACUGGACACAUAUUGACGCUGAGGUGCGAAAGCGUGGGGAGCAAACAGG
rnacentral:rRNA from 1 species